GACUUUAUUCAUUUGUGUUAGAGGCUAGAGAGUACCUUUUUUGUUUUUCAAUAUGACUUUGUGGUGUUCUGUCACUUUUUUACCAACAUUAAUUUUUCCUGUCAUAUGCUGAUAAAAUUAAGGCUUGCCUAAAUUACAGAUAUUCAUGCAUUUUAAUAUAACUAUUACUAUAUGCACAUAUACUUAUCAUGCAUUUCUUUGUUUACCGGCACAAUAGUCAUUCAAUUGUCAUUCAAGCCAAUGAACAUCAAUUUCAAUGACCUUCCUUGAUCCACGGAUCUUGACCUCAAUGUUUUAAAAUAUUACUUCAUUUCAAAUCCAUGAUUUUGGAUUCCCAUAAUACUGUAUUGCUAGUAAACUGAAAACAAUUUUAUUCCAUAUGUGAUAUGGGGCCAUUCCCAAAAUACAUAAUGCUUGUGGGGAUAGAGGGAUGUUUGAUCAGGAGUCGCAGAGUGUCACAAGGGGGGGG